GCUGUCCCUGGGUAAUCAGUGCCACGCUGCCCUUAACAUUUAACCCGGGCAGGAUUCUGCCUCACCUGUUAGUGAGGAGACUCCUGAGCCCCCCAGUCAAUACCUUGAGGGAAAUUAGAAAGUCAUAAGUGAGGAGAAUGUCCCAGAAAAUGCCUGUUGUGCUUUGAACACAGGAUGUGGCCAUAAGGAAAAUCCUCCCUCGUUUCAAGCUCGGCUCCGUGGAUUUAAUAAUGGCAUUCCUUGGAAUCAGUGAAGUUGGUCACGUCCUCUCCCAUCCCACUGUAAGGUUGGGGACCUUGGGUGACUUGUCUCAUAUCAGUGCAUCUGAAUUGCCUGGAAUGAUGGUGUUCCCUGUUAUCAGGAAAUAGCUUCUUGCUGGGAGAGGGGGCAAGGCUCCCUGUGUGUGCAGGGAUGUGUGCAUGUCUCAGAGUCAGGAACAGAAAGGCUAUGCAAAUUCUGGGGGGGAGGGGGAAAUGGUGCAAAACUCCCAGAUUAAAAUAACAGAAAGUGUAUUUUAAAUUCCCUGGUGCAGCUCCCUGGCAAGACAUGAUUAUAUUCCACAAGACACAAUAAUGUGUUUGUGCAGCACGUUUCAGGUGCUUUACAAUGUGCUGUUAAACUUCUGUGUUAUAAAAUAUCAUAUAAAUAUGCUAAACCCUCCUGCACUGCCCUUCCUUGUGUGCUGUUGCAGCCUGUCCCUGGGAACAAACUCCCAACCACCUGAUCCAGGAGCAAGGACCAUUCUCUGAAAAACAAGGCGCUUUUUACGGCAUCGGUGACAAGAUCCAGCUCUUUCCACGUCCCUUGGAAGCCCAGCCAGUCCUUUGGGCCAGUGCUUUGACUGCAACCCAGCAUCACUGUGCCACAGAACCCCGGGGAUGUUGCUGGUGUGAGUGGUCCUUCAGGAACCCAUCAGAGGAGAGUUUCAACUGCUUCCAGUCAGAGACCGCAGGCAGGUGACCCUGGAGAAGGUGCUGGUGUUCUCUUAUUCUCGGUUUCGCAGCCUGAAAUUCUUCCUUCAGUCCCUGCUGCUGCCUUCCUCUGCAAGGUCAAGUGGGAGCUGAAGUCCCAUGAAAAGUGGUACAGGAAUUGCCGGGAGUCUAAUUCCCCUUUUUUGGAGGAGAUCAGUCCAUGUGCUCCCAACAAUCCUCUGGAGCUCCCUUCCCUCCUGGCUGAGAGUGACCCAGAGCUGGGUGAAGCCACCUCAGGGCUGGGGGAUUCACAAGGGCUGCAGAUGUCCUGCCUGCUGAGCAGCUGGGGGAGAAGGAAGUUCUUCCUUCUGAAAUCCCAAUGGAUACAGUACCCAGGGCACUGUGGGAAAAUCCUGGUUUGAUAUUUCUCUUUGGAUUCCACUUGGUAGUGUCUCUGUCUCAUAUAUAUAUAUGUGUGUGUGUAUAUAUAUCUCUGUCAUGUCUGUUGGUCCUUCCCCUACAAAAUGUGCUUUUCCAAGACCAGUGUCCUGAGUCCUUUUGGGGUGCUGGAGCAGGAGUGGUUCAGAGAUGUGAAAGUUGGCUUCCUCCCCACUGGAACGGGGAGCAAAAGGCUAAUUCCAUUUUACAGUCAUCUUUGUACCAAUAUAGUUUGUGUGUUGUGUUUGACCUCCUGUAACAAGGUUAAACCACAGGGAUCCCCUUGAGAAGUUGCUAUUCAUCUUUUAUAUGUGAAGAUUUUCAAGUAUAGAAAGGGGAUAAACCUAAUACGGUGUUUAAUGGGAAAAAAUUAUGACACCAAUAACACAUCUGUGUCUGUAAUUUCACAGGUUUUCUCUCUGUAUAUUUAUAUAUGUAUAUAUGUAUAAUUUAAUAUCAGCCUCAGGGUUGUGGUCUCACAUGUCAUCAGCUUGCAGGAAACUGGAUCCUUGGACUAAGUAUCAGAUGAGUUGCUAAUGUUUGGAAAAAAAGCAAAAAAACAUGCUUUGGGUCUCUGUUUUAUGGCUGUUAUUGAAGUAAGAAUUUGUGAUUGUAACCUGACGCUCGCCCCGCCAACAUGUUUUCAUUAUUGUCUGGAUAAUUGAAAGUGCAGGCAAAUUUGGGUGCUGGGGGAUAUUGCACAUGAAGGGCUUGCUGCUCACCCAGCUGAGUGUUGAGGUGGCUCACAUGAAGGGUGAAUAUGUUUCAGCAUUUAAAGCAAGGCUUAAAGGCUGUUUUCUUCCCCCCCAGCAGCAGCCCAGCCGUGGCUGAUGAACGUGGGCUCAGUCUGGCUCCAGUUCUGGUUGCCCAGCCCGGGCUGUCACACUCAGCUCUGCCCUCUCACAACCUGCACUUUGACUUCUCAGGCUCUUUUUGUCCCAGUUCAGAGUGAACUGCCCAUGAAAACGUGUUAUCCCCUGGCUGUGUAAGGAACUGUGCCAAGGGAAAGGAGCUUCCCUUCGUGGCAGGACUUCUGGGAAGGGUUGUGAGCAGAACCUUUCUGCUCUUGGAGAUGCACCAGUAGAAAGAAGCUGCUGGAUCUUCACCAGCUUGGAAAAGGAACUUUAAACAUUUCUGUCCAUAACCCCCCUCCAGUCUUGUAGAAUUUCUGCUUGGUUUUGUUUGUUUAUGCAAAAAGGGAUGAUCCUGGUCCAGUUGGUGACUAAAAAAAACCCCAGAAUCUUGGUUUGUUGGCAGGAAUUGGUAUUUAUUGAAAAUCCUUGUAGCUGGAAGGGCAAGUGAUGGGGAUUUAAUGCAAAAGGUGGUCCCUGUGUCAGUGAGACAUGAUGACAGGGGCACCUCUGUGCCACAGUCCAGGCCUGUUCCUGUUCCAUGGGUAAACACAUGAUUCAAAUCCCCAGGAUUUAUGGAUGGAGCAGUUUCCCCACUACGUGAACCCCAGAGCUGACACACGUAGAAAAAGGUAAAUGAGGUUUGGGAGUUAAUCCCUAUUAACUGGGCAUAACUGGGAAAUUAAACCAAACACAAACUUUGGGUGGCUUUGGAGAACACCUUGGGACUUUGCUGCCAGCUCUCUGAAUCCUUUAAUUAGAUGCACGUGUCUGUGCUGACAGAAAAGCAGGGCUUGGUCACUCAUUAAUCUUCACCCAGUGGUUGAGUGCAGCCCCCAGCCCACGUGAGGCAGAGCUGCUCAGAGCUGACCCACUGCUUGGGGGAAAAGCCUUUGAACAGUUGGGAAAAGCCAACUCCAUCUUGAGUUCUGCAAGGAACUAAUUACCUGCCUGGACUCUCCCCACAUACCAGCUCCCACCCCCAUAAAUCCCAGGAGCAGCAGCCAUCCACCAACGUCCUCCACACUUCUCUUCUGAAUCAGGUCCUUUAUGUGCAUCUCAACUUGCUCGUGGAAGAUUCAUGGCCCAAGCUGCCUUAAGUAUUUUUGUUAUGAAUAGGAACCCUUAAACAUUUCCUUCUCAUUUAAUUUAUCAUUUUUUUUUUCAGGCUUUCAGCGCUGGGUACAAGCUAGAAAUAAUGGGAGGUGAAGCUUGUCCCUGAGAAAAGAGCCUUAAAAUAAUAAAGUGUACACUGGAAAGGGGGAAAUAAAUUACCCAUUACCAGUAGUACAACACCAGUAGA